GUGAGGAAUAUUGCGCAAUGGAGGCAACUCUGACGCAGCCAUGCCGCGUGCAGGAAGAAGGCGCUACGCGUUGUAAACUGCUUUUAACCGGGAAGAAACCCCAGGACGUGUCCUGGGUUGACGGUACCGGAGGAAUAAGCACCGGCUAACUUCGUGCCAGCAGCCGCGGUAAUACGAAGGGUGCACGCGUUAUCCGGAUUCAUUGGGUUUAAAGGGUGCGUAGGCGGAGCGUUAAGUCAGUGGUGAAAUCCUGCAGCUUAACUGUAGACUUGCCAUUGAUACUGGCGCGCUUGAGUGCGCUUGAAGUGGGCGGAAUGUGCCGUGUAGCGGUGAAAUGCUUAGAUAUGGCACAGAACACCAAUUGCGAAGGCAGCUCACUAAGGCGAUACUGACGCUGAGGCACGAAAGCGUGGGGAUCGAACAGGAUUAGAAACCCUAGAGUCC
rnacentral:rRNA from 1 species